AGGUUGGUGCGAAAGUAAUUGUGGUUUUUGCCAUUGAAAGUAAUAGCAAAAACCACAAUUACUUUCACACCAACCUAAUA
rnacentral:miRNA from 1 species